AUUGAACGCUGGCGGCAGGCCUAACACAUGCAAGUCGAACGAGUGGCGGACGGGUGAGUAAUGUCUGGGAAACUGCCCGAUGGAGGGGGAUAACUACUGGAAACGGUAGCUAAUACCGCAUACCAUCGGAUGUGCCCAGAUGGGCUUGGUUAGUAGGUGGGGUAAUGGCUCACCUAGGCGACGACCCCUAGCUGGUCUGAGAGGAUGACCAGCCCCACUGGAACUGAGACACGGUCCAGACUCCUACGUGAGGCAGCUGUGGUGAAUAUUGCACAAUGGGCGCAAGCCUGAUGCAGCCAUGCCGCGUGUGUGAAGAAGGCCUUCGGGUUGUAAAGCACUGUCAGCGAGGAGGCGUUACUCGCAGAAGAAGCACCGGCUAACUCCGUGCCAGCAGCCGCGGUAAAC
rnacentral:rRNA from 1 species